UAACGCGUGGGUAACCUGCCCCAUACCGGGGGAUAACACUUAGAAAUAGGUGCUAAUACCGCAUAAGCGCACGAAGCCGCAUGGAUUUGUGUGAAAAACUCCGGUGGUGUAAGAUGGACCCGCGUCUGAUUAGCUUGUUGGCGGGGUAACGGCCCACCAAGGCGACGAUCAGUAGCCGGCCUGAGAGGGUGGACGGCCACAUUGGGACUGAGACACGGCCCAAACUCCUACGGGAGGCAGCAGUGGGGGAUAUUGGACAAUGGGGGGAACCCUGAUCCAGCGACGCCGCGUGAGUGAAGAAGUAUUUCGGUAUGUAAAGCUCUGUCAGCAGGGAAGAAAGAAAUGACGGUACCUGACCAAGAAGCCCCGGCUAACUACGUGCCAGCAGCCGCGGUAAUACGUAGGGGGCAAGCGUUAUCCGGAAUUACUGGGUGUAAAGGGAGCGUAGACGGUUAAGUAAGUCUGGAGUGAAAGGCCGGGGCCCAACCCCGGGACUGCUCUGGAAACUAUUCAACUUGAGUGCAGGAGAGGUAAGCGGAAUUCCUAGUGUAGCGGUGAAAUGCGUAGAUAUUAGGAGGAACACCAGUGGCGAAGGCGGCUUACUGGACUGUAACUGACGUUGAGGCUCGAAAGCGUGGGGAGCAAACAGGAUUAGAUACCCUGGUAGU
rnacentral:rRNA from 1 species